rnacentral:lncRNA from 1 species
GGCCUCUUGUGGUCACAAGGGUGCAUGUCAACAUAUUUGCCUCCCUCUCCAGGUCUGUCUUGCUCCACCCAAGUAUUCUUUUCAUCCAAGCCCUGAAAUGAGAGAACUUCCUGGAACUGUGUAGUCAUAUGUUGCUUCUAUGGGGAGGCCAUGGGACCCCUCAGCUGAUCUUCCAGUCAAGAGAGAGCUCUCUGAUUCUGAAGUCAAUCUCGGGAGUCAAGGAAUAUCCUAAGGAAGUUUAUUUUACUUGGAGAGGCAGUGUAAUAGAGUGGAAAGAACACCGGCCUUGGAGAGAAAUAGCAUGGUGUCAUGGUAAGCCCAC